CAUAAACAUAGGAACUGUAUUAAGGUUAUUAGCAGGUUUAGCUGUAUACACAUAUAAGCUAUACUAGCAAACUAGGACAGGUCUUUGCUGGCCAGCUACAAGCUAUAAUAAGAUUCGUUAUCUAUUAAACAAAGGUGG